GAUGAACGCUGGCGGCGUGCCUAAUACAUGCAAGUCGAGCGAACAGACGAGAAGCUUGCUCCUCUGACGUUAGCGGCGGACGGGUGAGUAACACGUGGAUAACCUACCUAUAAGACUGGGAUAACUUCGGGAAACCGGAGCUAAUACCGGAUAAUAUUUUGAACCGCAUGGUUCAAUAGUGAAAGACGGUUUUGCUGUCACUUAUAGAUGGAUCCGCGCUGCAUUAGCUAGUUGGUAAGGUAACGGCUUACCAAGGCAACGAUGCAUAGCCGACCUGAGAGGGUGAUCGGCCACACUGGAACUGAGACACGGUCCAGACUCCUACGGGAGGCAGCAGUAGGGAAUCUUCCGCAAUGGGCGAAAGCCUGACGGAGCAACGCCGCGUGAGUGAUGAAGGUCUUCGGAUCGUAAAACUCUGUUAUUAGGGAAGAACAUAUGUGUAAGUAACUGUGCACAUCUUGACGGUACCUAAUCAGAAAGCCACGGCUAACUACGUG
rnacentral:rRNA from 1 species